AUGAGCUCGGAAAUGGGGAAAUCCAAGAACAAAAGGGCCAUGGCGGCCGGUCCGGAGGAAGUCCAGGCGAAGAAGAUGAAUCCGGGGCAGGAGGAAGAUGAGAAAAAGGACUCGCUUGCACUGCUUCCCAUGCCCGGAGGGAGGCCUGGCUGCUUCAUCGAUCCCAGGUGGCUCACUGCCAAGAUUGCAAAGGACAAACUGGAUGCCGCAAAAUCAGCAGCCCCCCCUCCCCCGGUGAAGAUUCCGACGCUCGAGCACUUUAGACCCCCGACCAGGUUUCACACUCAAGCGCUUCUCCCCGUGCGUGAGUCUCGAGGCAAGGCGGCGCUCUCUGCUGCUAAAUCUCUUGUUGGGAUUUCAUCAUCUCUUGGUAGCAAGCCUCUAAAGCGGUGCUCUGGUUUAUUGAUUGAUUGGGACGAGGAGAGCAAAACCUGCGUUGUUUUGACAACUGCACAUCUGAUUCGCACAAAGGAUUCUCCUGUCAAUGUCUGGUUAGGCGGAGAAGAGUAUACUUCCAAUGCUGAUGUCACUGUUCAUUUACUAGAUGGCACUAGUGAAAAGGGUCAGCUGCUGUACUACCAGCCACACUAUGAUCUUGCUUUUGUGCGGGUUAAAGUGGACCAGCCUAUCCAGUUGUCGUCUUUCAGUGAAGAAGUGACAUUUGCUGAAGAAGUUCUUCGGCUAGGAAGAGACAAUAUGUUAGAUCUAUGGAUAACUUAUGGUAGAGCUGCAUAUCAGAAUCCAGAUAUUGAUGAGCGGUAUCAUUACAUGUACUUUGAUUGUGCAGAUGAUGAUAACGAUGAUGACGAGUAUGACAACGGAGGGCUAGUCAUUAGCUUGGAUGGAAAAAUUGUUGGAAUGUUCAACAUUAGCUCGAGGGGGUCUUUCAUACCUUCUUCUAUUUUGCUCAGUUGUGUGGAUUUGUGGAAGAAAUAUGGGCGCAUCCCCCGGCCCCAACUUGGAAUGACGUUUGAGGCCAUCAAGCUUCUAGAGCCUGCUCAUGUUGACAAGAUAUGGUGCAUGUGCCACAUUGAUGAUGGUCUUGUUGUUCAAGAGGUCUUGAAAGGAUCUCCUGCUGAUAAAUUUGGAAUCGAAAGAGGUGAUAUUGUUGAGUGUUUCAAUGGAGAACCCAUUUCUAAUACUGUUGAGUUGGAGAAUAGGUUGAUGAACACAUGCAAGGGCCUUUCAGACAAUUAUAAUGACCUUGUUGAAGUUCAUGUUUCUGUUGUGGUGUUUCACACGCUUAAAAAACAGCGAAGGAUUGGAGAGUUGACUGUAAGUGUAUCAGAUCUUGGAGAAAUUAUUGCAAGAGGUACACAUCUCCUAUUUUAA
rnacentral:rRNA from 1 species